GACGAACGCUGGCGGCGUGCCUAAUACAUGCAAGUCGAGCGGAACUGGGGGAGCUUGCUCCUUCCAGUUUAGCGGCGGACGGGUGAGUAACACGUGGGCAACCUGCCCUGCAGAUCGGGAUAACUCCGGGAAACCGGUGCUAAUACCGGAAAGUUUGGCGCCUCUCCUGAGGCGCUACGGAAAGACGGUUUCGGCUGUAACUGCAGGAUGGGCCCGCGGCGCAUUAGCUAGUUGGUGGGGUAACGGCCAACCAAGGCGACGAUGCGUAGCCGACCUGAGAGGGUGACCGGCCACACUGGGACUGAGACACGGCCCAGACUCCUACGGGAGGCAGCAGUAGGGAAUCUUCCGCAAUGGACGCAAGUCUGACGGAGCAACGCCGCGUGAGUGACGAAGGUUUUCGGAUCGUAAAACUCUGUUGUGAGGGAAGAACACGUACCAACUAACUAUUGGUACCUUGACGGUACCUCACCAGAAAGCCACGGCUAACUACGUGCCAGCAGCCGCAGUAA
rnacentral:rRNA from 1 species